rnacentral:tRNA from 1 species
GCCUGGCUGGCUCAGUUGGUAGAGCAUGCAGCUUUAAUCUCAGGGUUGUGAGUUAAAGCCCCAUGUUGGGUA